rnacentral:rRNA from 1 species
UUAAAGUCUAACCUGCCCACUGAAAAUUUUAAAUGGCCGCAGUAUUUUAACUGUGCAAAGGUAGCAUAAUCAUUAGUCUUUUAAUUGAAGGCUGGAAUGAAUGGUUGGACGAAAUAUUAACUGUUUCAUUUAAAAUUUUUUUAGAAUUUUAUUUUUUAGUCAAAAAGCUAAAAUGUGUUUAAAAGACGAGAAGACCCUAUAAAUCUUUAUAUUUUGUUUAUUUUAAUUAUAAAGAUUAUUUUUAUUAUAAUAAAUUAAAAUAUUUUAUUGGGGUGAUAUUAAAAUUUAAAAAACUUUUAAUUUUUUAAAACCAUUAAUUUAUGAAUAAUUGAUCCAUUAAUAAUGAUUAAAAAUUUAAGUUACUUUAGGGAUAACAGCGUAAUUUUUUUGGAGAGUUCAUAUCGAUAAAAAAGAUUGCGACCUCGAUGUUGGAUUAAGAUAUAAUUUUGGGUGUAGCCGUUCAAAUUUUAAGUCUGUUCGACUUUUAAAUUCUUACAUGAUCUGAGUUCAAACCGGCGUAAGCCAGGUUGGUUUCUAUCUUUAAAAAAUUAUAAUAUUUUAGUACGAAAGGACCAAAUAUUAAAAUAAUUAUAUUUUAAAUAAGAAUAUUAUUAAUUUAA